rnacentral:rRNA from 1 species
AACGAACGCUGGCGGCAGGCCUAACACAUGCAAGUCGAGCGCCCCGCCAGGGGAGCGGCGGACGGGUGAGUACCGCGUGGGAACGUACCCUUUGCUACGGAAUAGCCUCGGGAAACUGGGAGUAAUACCGUAUGUGUCCUUCGGGAGAAAGAUUUAUCGGCAAGGGAUCGGCCCGCGUUGGAUUAGGUAGUUGGUGGGGUAAUGGCCUACCAAGCCGACGAUCCAUAGCUGGUUUGAGAGGAUGAUCAGCCACACUGGGACUGAGACACGGCCCAGACUCCUACGGGAGGCAGCAGUGGGGAAUCUUAGACAAUGGGCGCAAGCCUGAUCGAGCCAUGCCGCGUGAGCGAUGAAGGCCUUAGGGUUGUAAAGCUCUUUCAGGGGGGAAGAUAAUGACUGUACCCCCAGAAGAAGCCCCGGCUAACUCCGUG